AGGGCUAAAUGGAGACAAUAGAUAGUGGUGCAGAUCCUACGCCCUGUCUAUGUGAACCAUUAGCCCCUGGUGUGACUAUGGAGGAAAACAUAGAACCGGCGGCAGCGCGGAUAAGAUAAAACGCUCUAGCUUUUCACGAGAAAAAGGCAAAAGGCUCUUCCCUUCAACAGGGACUCUCGUUAUAUAGUUUCAGCCCGUGUAACAUUAAGUGGUUUAAUUAGCUCCAAAGGCAGGUAAAACUGCCAUGGUUAGACAAGGAGAGGGAGAGGAACAAGGAGAGGGACAAGGAGAGGGAGAGACAAGGAGACAGACAAGGAGAGGGUGUAUGUGUGUGUUACUUGUUCCAGUUGUGUGUAGAUGUGUGUCUCUGUGUGUGUUACUUGUUCCAGUUGUAAGUGUGUAGAUGUGUGUCUCUGUGUAUGUGUGUUACUUGUUAGAGCUGUAAGUGUGUAGAUGUCUCUGUGUAUGUGUGUGUUACUUGUUCCAGUUGUAAGUGUGUAGAUGUGUGUCUCUGUGUAUGUGUGUUACUUGUUAGAGCUGUAAGUGUGUAGAUGUCUCUGUGUAUGUGUGUGUUACUUGUUCCAGUUGUAAGUGUGUAGAUGUGUGUCUCUGUGUAUGUGUGUGUUACUUGUUCCAGCUGUAAGUGUGUAGAUGUGUCUCUGUGUAUGUGUGUGUUACUUGUUCCAGUUGUAAGUGUGUAGAUGUGUGUCUCUGUGUAUGUGUGUGUUACUUGUUAGAGCUGUAAGUGUGUAGAUGUGUGUCUCUGUGUAUGUGUGUGUUACUUGUUCCAGCUGUAAGUGUGUAGAUGUGUGUCUCUGUGUAUGUGUGUGUUACUUGUUCCAGCUGUAAGUGUGUAGAUAUGUGUGUCUCUGUGUGUGUGUGUGUUACUUGUUAGAGCUGUAAGUGUGUAGAUGUGUGUCUCUGUGUGUGUGUGUGUUACUUGUUCCAGCUGUAAGUGUGUAGAUGUGUGGUUGUUCAUGUCCCACAGUAAGAUGUCCACAUAAGAGAACCUCUCCUGCGCUGGGCCGCUGUGUCUGCAGACUGAAGCAGCUGUAAAGGAAACUUCACCAAGACCUCCUACAAAAACCAGAAACGUCAUUAGAUAAACUCUUUUUCAUCUUGAUGUUCCUACGAGUUUGGGCGUAUUUAUUCAUCUUAUUAUAUUUGAUCAUUUUGACAUAUUCCUCGUUAUUAGAUCAAGUUUUUAAACCUAGUCUUAGUAUUUCUGCUGCAGAACAUCUGACUUAUUUCUCCAUUUCUAAAAAGAAGCAACAUCAGGUUAAGCUUGAAAACACGCCUGCAAACGUAUUUCAGGGUCAAUAUAAUCAUCGAAUAACGGGAAUAUUCAUCGAACAUUUCCUUCCUACAUUCUCCUUCAUCAAACAGUUUUUAUUUCAACACGAGUUCUUUUAUACCAAGAACCACAAAUGAACAGUUUAUUCUUUUUCUCCAUAAUGAACAUUAUACCUACAAAUCAUUUACUGCACGGGACUAAUGACCCAGUGAUAAAAACAUACACAUCGAAUCAAAUAAAUCUGAUCAUCUCCACGUUCUUCUUCACGGUUCACCGAGAUGGCAGCAGACCAACAUCUUUCACUUGGAGAAUUAACUUAACGAUACAGCUUUACCUCGGACUGUUAAGAAGCGCUGGCACUGGAGACUCCUUCCACACGUGUUAAACAAACCUCUCCUGACGGACGACUUUCAGAAAUAUAGUCUGGAAUUAGAAAGCUACAACGAUGACAAAUCAGCGCAUGACACUAUGGUGGAGUCAGAUCUGAUAUUUAAUGAAAAGGAAGAAAACAGGAGCAGAAGAAAAGCUCGGAGAGAAACGCUGUGCUGCAAACAUGUCCUCCUUCAUCCCCGUAUAUAUAUAUAUAUAUAUAUAUAUAUUACACACAUCUGUUCUGCUUAUGUACACGCCACAACCGUACACACUCCAUUUAUAACAGAUCACACACACACGUAGUGGCAGGAAGUGGAGAAACGCCGAACACACUAAAGACUGAAAACAGAGACAGAAUGAAGGAGACGUCGUGCACACAGGAACAGUUUCUGAAAGCUAAAUAUAAUAAUAUGCGUGACCAGAGAAGGCAGAUGUGCUGCUCAGAGGAAUUCGACACUGUGUCCACGUCUUCUGCAGAGUCAUGUGCCUUUAGCAAAGAACGAGAGCGCACAGGUCUCGGGUACUCGUCUUCUACA
ensembl:lncRNA